UUGGGACACAGCUUGGUUUUAUACAUGUUAGGGAGAUAGGAGACAUCAGUAUAUGUAAGAUGAACGUUGGUUUCGUCGGGAAAGGCGGGACAAGUCGAAGCAGGGAGGGGGCUUCCAGGUCACAGGUAGGUGAGAGACAAACUUGUAUUCUUUUGGGUUUCUGCGUAGAAAGAAUAUCAGAUAUGCACUUAUCUCAGUGAGUAGAGGGGUGACUUUGAAUAGAAGGGGAGGGGAGGCAGGUUUGCCCUAAGCAGUUCCCAGCUUUUUUCCCUUUAGAUUAGUGAUUUUUGGGCCCUCAGAUUCAUUUUCCUUUCACAGGCUAAGCAGCUUUAGGAACUGAAAGGUUCAUGAGGCUGUAAGGAAGAGUCGAGUUUCUCCAGGUGAGCCUGGGCCACAACAGCACGCAGGACCUGGGCGCCCACGAGGAGCUCCUGGGAGGGUUCGGGAAAGGGAGCCGUGAACCCUGACUAUCUGAGAUGGUUUCAGGUGAUUUAGAAAGUUCAUUUUGCCGAGGUUGAGGAUGUGCACCCGUGACAGCCUCAGGAGAUCCUGACGACAAGUGCCCAAGGUGGUCAGGGCACAGCUUGGUUUAAGGGAGACAUGAGACAUCAGUCAGUACAUGUCAGAAGUACCUUGCUUCCAUCCAGAAAGGUGGGGACAACUGGAAGCAGGGAGGGGGCUUCCAAGGUCACAGGUAGGUGAGAGACAAAUGUUGCGUUGUUUUGAGUUUCUGGUUAGCCUCUCCAAAGGAGGCGAUCGAAUGUGCACCUAUCUUAGUGAGGAGAUAGGUGAUUUGGAGUAGAAUGGGAGGCAGGUUUGCCUUGAGCCAUUCCCAGCUUGACUUUUCCCUUUAGCUUAGUAAUCUUGGGGCCCCAAGAUUUUCUUUUCACAGAGCCUAUGACUAGAUUUGCAUGUUUAGAUCCUGCGAGGAGGCGGCUACACACAUGCAGAAGUCAUGCUGGUGGCCUGGACUCCGAAGGGAGAGAAGUGGAUUCGAGAGACAUUUAGGAGCCUGACGCAGGCGCUGGGUCCUGGUUCUGGAGGUGAGAAUACACCCUGGGCUUCCACUGCAUGGCUGCCCUGUGAGCAUUCAGGUGCUUGUUUGGGGACUGAUACGGAGUCCUGUGCCAGAUGCAGUGGUGCACACCUGGGAACCAAGCGUCCCUGCUUCUACUGGAGAAUCUGGACAGAUGUAAAAGGUAAGAAAGGCUGGGGGUAGGGGUUAGGGUUAAGGUUAGGCUUGGGGCUGGGGUUGGGAUUGUGGUUAGGGUUAGGGUUAGGGUUGGGGUUGUGUUUAGGGUUAUGAUUAGGGUUUAGUGUUAGGGAUUAGGGUUUUAGCGUUAGCGUUUUAGGGUUAUGGUUAGGGGUUAGGGUUGGGGUUAUGGUAAGGUGUUAAAGGUUAGGGUUAAGGUUUAGGGUUAGGGUUGGGGUUAAGGGUAAGGAUUACAGCUUUUAGGGUUAGGGUGCUUGGCAAAAUGGGUCCACCCUCUCCUGGGUAACCCUGGCUCUAGGCCCUCUUUUAUGUCUUGGCCUGCCCCACCAGUCCCCUGGAGCCCUCUGCUGACCUAACCACACUGUAUGUUCUUACUUAUAAGUGGGACAUAAGCUAUGAUGAUGAUUCCAAGGCCUAAGAAUGAUAAGUGGGCUUUGGGGACUUAGGGGGAAAGGUGAGAGGGAGGUGAGGGAUAAAACCCUACACAUUGGGUACAUUGUACUCUGCUUGGGCUAUGGGUGGACCAAAAUCUCAGAAACCAUCAAUAAAGAACUUUAGCAUUUAACCAAAACCACCUGUUCCCCAAAACUAUUGAAAUAAAAUAAAAUAAAAUAAAAUAAUA